rnacentral:tRNA from 1 species
GCCUGGGUAGCUCAGUUGGUAGAGCGCUUCCCUGAAGAGGAAUAGGUCGCCGGUUCGAUUCCGGCCCCAGGCACCA